rnacentral:rRNA from 1 species
UGGGGGAUAUUGCACAAUGGGGGAAACCCUGAUGCAGCGACGCCGCGUGAGGGAAGACGGUAUUCGUAUUGUAAACCUCUGUCUUAGGGGACGAAAAAAGACGGUACCCUAGGAGGAAGCCACGGCUAACUACGUGCCAGCAGCCGCGGUAAUACGUAGGUGGCGAGCGUUGUCCGGAAUUACUGGGUGUAAAGGGAGCGUAGGCGGUAAAUUAGGUCUAUUGUAAAAGGCAGAGGCUCAACCUCUGUAUGCGGUAGAAACCGGUUUACUUGAGUGAAGUAGAGGCAAGCGGAAUUCCCAGUGUAGCGGUAAAAUGCGUAGAUAUUGGGAGGAACACCAGUGGCGAAGGCGGCUUGCUGGGCUUUUACUGACACUGAGGCUCGAAAGCGUGGGGAGCAAACA